CGCCCCUUCCCCGCUUCCUGCAGGGCGGGGCAGCGCUCGGAGCGGAGGCGGCGGAGGUUCCGGAGCAGUUUCUGCCAUGUGGGACCCCAGUGCAGCAGUGACUCCGACUGAUGGCAGUGCCACCCACGUGCCGGGGCCGCCUGGGGGCCACCCGUGUCCUCCUGCGGCCCCCCCCGUGUGCUGUGACCACCUGGAACCCACGAGCAGCUGGGACCGUCCGUGACCGCCCCGUGUCCAUGUAGGACCUCCUGUGACCGCCCCAUAUCCACCCCUGGGAACACCCACAGCCGCCCACGGCUCCGUGCCCCACCACAUCCCAUACCCACGGGGUGUCCCCAUGUUCCUCCGCACCGUGGGCCUGUGUGGGUGCUGAGGGGGUGUUUUGGCUUCAAUGGGUGCCAGCAUAUUAGGGGGUGUCCGGUGGUCCCAUUGGGUUCUGUGGUGUCACGGCUGCCGGGGUUGCUGCUGCUGCCUCCCAAUAAAGCCCUGGGAACCCCUCAACCCGUCUCAGAGCCUCCUUUACGUCGUGCGGGGCAAACUCCACUGGGGAGGGGGCACCCCCAGCCCGAAUGCCGC
ensembl:lncRNA